rnacentral:tRNA from 4 species
GGGAAAAUAGCCAAUGGUAAGGCAAUGUAUUUGCUAAAUAUUGUGUAAUUAACACCUAGAUGUUCGAAUCAUCUUUUUCCCG